UUUGUGGAGAGUAUGAUACCGGCUCAGGACGAACGCUGGCGGCGUGGAUUAGGCAUGCAAGCCGAACGAGAAGCCGUACUUCGGUACGGUGGAAAGUGGCGAAAGGGUGAGUAACGCGUGGGUAAUUUGCCUCUGAGAUGGGGACAACAACUCGAAAGGGUUGCUAAUACCAAAUACGAUCCGGUUGACUUCGGUCAGCCGAAUGAAAGGCGGCUUCGGCUGCCGCUCGGAGAUAAGCCCGCGUCCUAUUAGCUUGUUGGUGAGGUAAAAGCUCACCAAGGCGACGAUGGGUAGCUGGUCUGAGAGGAUGGUCAGCCACAUUGGGACUGAGACACUGCCCAAACUCCUACGGGAGGCUGCAGUCGAGAAUAUUUCGCAAUGGGGGAAACCCUGACGAUGCGACGCCGCGUG
rnacentral:rRNA from 1 species